rnacentral:tRNA from 2 species
GGGCUGGUGGUCUAGUGGUUACGCCGUGGAAUGAAACAUUCCACUUGUUUCCAGCGCCACGGCGCUGCAAAUGACGUCGCGCUUACAACGCGGAGGUCGAGAGUUCGAUUCUCUCUCAGCCCA